rnacentral:rRNA from 1 species
UACAGAGGGGGCAAGCGUUGUUCGGAAUUACUGGGCGUAAAGGGCGCGUAGGCGGCCUUCUAAGUCGAACGUGAAAUCCCCGGGCUCAACCCGGGAACUGCGUCCGAUACUGGAAGGCUUGAAUCCGGGAGAGGGAUGUGGAAUUCCAGGUGUAGCGGUGAAAUGCGUAGAUAUCAGGAGGAACACCGGUGGCGAAGGCGGUUCUCUGGGCCUGUACUGACGCUGAGGAACGAAAGCGUGGGGAGCGAACAGG